UACGGAGGGAGCUAGCGUUGUUCGGAAUUACUGGGCGUAAAGCGCACGUAGGCGGCUUUUUAAGUCAGGGGUGAAAUCCCGGGGCUCAACCCCGGAACUGCCCUUGAAACUGGAGAGCUAGAAUCUUGGAGAGGGGAGUGGAAUUCCGAGUGUAGAGGUGAAAUUCGUAGAUAUUCGGAAGAACACCAGUGGCGAAGGCGACUCGCUGGACAAGUAUUGACGCUGAGGUGCGAAAGCGUGGGGAGCAAACAGG
rnacentral:rRNA from 1 species